AUUGAACGCUGGCGGCAUGCCUUACACAUGCAAGUCGAACGGCAGCACGGGUGCUUGCACCUGGUAGCGAGUGGCGAACGGGUGAGUAAUACAUCGGAACGUACCUUAUCGUGGGGGAUAACGCAGCGAAAUUUGCGCUAAUACCGCAUACGCCCUGAGGGGGAAAGCGGGGGACCGUAAGGCCUCGCGCGAUUAGAGCGGCCGAUGUCUGAUUAGCUUGUUGGUGAGGUAAAAGCUCACCAAGGCGAUGAUCAGUAGCUGGCCUGAGAGGACGAUCAGCCACACUGGGACUGAGACACGGCCCAGACUCCUACGGGAGGCAGCAGUGGGGAAUUUUGGACAAUGGGGGCAACCCUGAUCCAGCAAUGCCGCGUGAGUGAAGAAGGCCUUCGGGUUGUAAAGCUCUUUUGUCAGGGAAGAAACAGCAGCUCUAACACAGUCUGCGAAUGACGGUACCUGAAGAAUAAGCACCGGCUAACUACGUGCCAGCCGCCGCGGUAA
rnacentral:rRNA from 1 species